GAAAGGCGAAAAGAACCCCGGCGAGGGGAGUGAAAAAGAACCUGAAACCGUGUACGUACAAGCAGUGGGAGCACCCUUUGGGUGUGACUGCGUACCUUUUGUAUAAUGGGUCAGCGACUUAUAUUCUGUAGCAAGGUUAACCGAAUAGGGGAGCCGGAGGGAAACCGAGUCUUAACCGGGCGUUAAGUUGCAGGGUAUAGACCCGAAACCCGGUGAUCUAGCCAUGGGCAGGUUGAAGGUUGGGUAACACUAACUGGAGGACCGAACCGACUAAUGUUGAAAAAUUAGCGGAUGACCUGUGGCUGGGGGUGAAAGGCCAAUCAAACCGGGAGAUAGCUGGUUCUCCCCGAAAGCUAUUUAGGUAGCGCCUCGUGAAUUCAUCUCCGGGGGUAGAGCACUGUUUCGGCUAGGGGGCCAUCCCGGCUUACCAACCCGAUGCAAACUGCGAAUACCGGAGAAUGUUAUCACGGGAGACACACGGCGGGUGCUAACGUCCGUCGUGAAGAGGGAAACAACCCAGACCGCCAGCUAAGGUCCCAAAGUCAUGGUUAAGUGGGAAACGAUGUGGGAAGGCCCAGACAGCCAGGAUGUUGGCUUAGAAGCAGCCAUCAUUUAAAGAAAGCGUAAUAGCUCACUGGUCGAGUCGGCCUGCGCGGAAGAUGUAACGGGGCUAAACCAUG
rnacentral:rRNA from 1 species